rnacentral:rRNA from 1 species
CUAUACAUGACUCUGCGCAUAUCAAUAAGCGGAGGAAAAGAAACUAACAAGGAUUCCCCUAGUAACGGCGAGUGAAGCGGGAAGAGCUCAAAUUUGAAAUCUUAAAGGGUUUCCCUUUACGAAUUGUAGUUUAAAGAAGUGUUUUCUGUUGGAGUUUCGGUAAAAGUUCUUUGGAAUAGGACAUCAUAGAGGGUGAGAAUCCCGUAUUUGACCGUUACUUUCCAGCUGUGUGAUACACUUUCAAAGAGUCGGAUUGUUUGGGAAUGCAGUCCAAGAUGGGUGGUAAAUUUCAUCUAAAGCUAAAUAUUGGCGAGAGACCGAUAGCGAACAAGUACCGUGAGGGAAAGAUGAAAAGAACUUUGAAAAGAGAGUUAAACAGUACGUGAAAUUGUCAAAAGGGAAGCGUUUGACACCAGUGUUGUUUUCUCGAAAAUCAAUUAAAAAUGGCAGGAUUUUGUGUUGUAUUGACUUUAUCAGCUUUCAUGCACUUUUUUCUUGUCCUUUUUUAAUGCACUUUUCGUUUAACAAGUCAACAUCAAUUUCUUUUGUUGUAAAAGAGGUCAUUGGAAGGUGGCUUUCUUUUCGGAGAAAGUGUUUAUAGCCUUUGGCUUCUGCAAUCGGAGAGAUUGAGGUCUGCAGCGUAGAUCCUUCGGGGUUAGAUACAUUUGUGCUAAGUUAUAGCCUUUCAUAGACAACUUGUUGACUAUGAUCAGUCAUGUAGCUUACUCCGCUUAGUGUUAUUUUACCUACGCUUAGGAUGUUGAAGAUAUGCGCGACACGACUCUAUACAUGACUCUGUGCAUAUCAAUAAGCGGAGGAAAAGGUCAACAUUUUACCUACGCUUAGGAUGUUGAAGAUAUGCGCGACACG